rnacentral:rRNA from 2 species
GAUUGGUGCUUGCAUCAUGAUUUACAUUUGAGUGAGUGGCGAACUGGUGAGUAACACGUGGGAAACCUGCCCAGAAGCGGGGGAUAACACCUGGAAACAGAUGCUAAUACCGCAUAACAACUUGGACCGCAUGGUCCGAGCUUGAAAGAUGGCUUCGGCUAUCACUUUUGGAUGGUCCCGCGGCGUAUUAGCUAGAUGGUGGGGUAACGGCUCACCAUGGCAAUGAUACGUAGCCGACCUGAGAGGGUAAUCGGCCACAUUGGGACUGAGACACGGCCCAAACUCCUACGGGAGGCAGCAGUAGGGAAUCUUCCACAAUGGACGAAAGUCUGAUGGAGCAACGCCGCGUGAGUGAAGAAGGGUUUCGGCUCGUAAAACUCUGUUGUUAAAGAAGAACAUAUCUGAGAGUAACUGUUCAGGUAUUGACGGUAUUUAACCAGAAAGCCACGGCUAACUACGUGCCAGCAGCCGCGGUAAUACGUAGGUGGCAAGCGUUGUCCGGAUUUAUUGGGCGUAAAGCGAGCGCAGGCGGUUUUUUAAGUCUGAUGUGAAAGCCUUCGGCUCAACCGAAGAAGUGCAUCGGAAACUGGGAAACUUGAGUGCAGAAGAGGACAGUGGAACUCCAUGUGUAGCGGUGAAAUGCGUAGAUAUAUGGAAGAACACCAGUGGCGAAGGCGGCUGUCUGGUCUGUAACUGACGCUGAGGCUCGAAAGUAUGGGUAGCAAACAGGAUUAGAUACCCUGGUAGUCCAUACCGUAAACGAUGAAUGCUAAGUGUUGGAGGGUUUCCGCCCUUCAGUGCUGCAGCUAACGCAUUAAGCAUUCCGCCUGGGGAGUACGGCCGCAAGGCUGAAACUCAAAGGAAUUGACGGGGGCCCGCACAAGCGGUGGAGCAUGUGGUUUAAUUCGAAGCUACGCGAAGAACCUUACCAGGUCUUGACAUACUAUGCAAAUCUAAGAGAUUAGACGUUCCCUUCGGGGACAUGGAUACAGGUGGUGCAUGGUUGUCGUCAGCUCGUGUCGUGAGAUGUUGGGUUAAGUCCCGCAACGAGCGCAACCCUUAUUAUCAGUUGCCAGCAUUAAGUUGGGCACUCUGGUGAGACUGCCGGUGACAAACCGGAGGAAGGUGGGGAUGACGUCAAAUCAUCAUGCCCCUUAUGACCUGGGCUACACACGUGCUACAAUGGAUGGUACAACGAGUUGCGAACUCGCGAGAGUAAGCUAAUCUCUUAAAGCCAUUCUCAGUUCGGAUUGUAGGCUGCAACUCGCCUACAUGAAGUCGGAAUCGCUAGUAAUCGCGGAUCAGCAUGCCGCGGUGAAUACGUUCCCGGGCCUUGUACACACCGCCCGUCACACCAUGAGAGUUUGUAACACCCAAA